UUUGGGGAUUUUGGAACGAAGAGUCACAAAACAAGUGACUAUUUACACUUACAAAAUCGAGGCAUGGAUUUCUGUCAGUGUGUUUUGUGGGAACAAUCCUGACGAAGCGAUUGUUCUUAAAGAAGAGCGUAUGCAA
rnacentral:ribozyme from 1 species